CCCAAUAAAUUAAAACCCUAACCAAAAACCUAAUUCGGCCCAACCUAGCCCAAAACAUUCCCCAAACCCCGAAACCCUAGCCUUCAGCAACCAGCAACACCGCCGUCGAACCCAGGGCCUCUUCCGCGUGUGCGUCUCCUCCAGCUGGCCUCCGUACACGCCACGUCCACCCUCCGUACGUCGUACCUGCAAGAGGGACAAGUAAACAAAAAAGAAGCAAAAAUCGAGCAAAAAAGAAAAAAAUUACAAAAAGAGCAAAAUACGUUUUUCCUUUGUAAUUUUCAUUUUAGUUUUGGCUAUAUAAAGCCAUUUUUUAGCGUUUUGUAAGGGUUUUUUUUUACGCAAGAUCAAUACACAGAAAAUCAAUACAAGAGAUACAAGAAAUUUUCAAAAAAGAAUACAUCGUUCUAGGUGAUUCUCCGGCUUCAUUUUCUCUUUUGGGUUUUCUUAGUUUUUAUUUAUUUAUUUAUUUAUUUUAUAUGCAAGAAAUAUAAAGAAUAAAAGGGGAAGAAAGGAGAAAGUUACCUUUGUUAUUGCGCCGUUAACCCUCGUCCGCUCUGUUGAAAUCAAAGUUCGAAAAGGGGUUGCCUCUGAGAUGCAAACGGCUGAAAUCAGCGCUAGAGGGGUAGCCUUCGGGACUGAUUUCAGCCAGUUUGCAAACUGAAAUAGGGUUCUGAUUUUAGGGUUAUAAAAGGUUCAUAUAUAGUACAUAAAACGGCACCGUUUAGGGCCUACUUCACUGGCUCCAAAACAGUGCCGUGUUGAUCAUUGCCCAGCAGCCCGCGUGCGACCCGACCCGAUCCAUGGGGGAUCCGCGCGUUAUUUGUUAAAUGGCUUAUUUGCGCCACUGGUCCCUCGUUUUUUAUAGCGCAUCAAAAUCGAGUGUUUUUUUUUAUUUAGAUUCUGCUGGAUAUUUUAUUUUUGUGUCGUUUCAGUCCGUUUGUAGCACUGCGUUUUGGGGAAGCGAGAUAUUUCCCACUCGGCCCCCCAUGUAAUUCAUGCAUUGCAGUAUAGUCCUCAACUUUAUUUUAAUUCUAUUAUUUUCUUGUUAAUCUAGGUCUAAUUGCGAU
rnacentral:lncRNA from 1 species